GCCAACUAACAGAGAACGGUAUUUUCGGUGUUUUGCGCUCGAACCACAUCUCUCGAGAUAUUUCGAGCUGAAGAUGAAUCAGAUGACGAAACGCAUAAGCAGAGAAUGAAUUUCUAAAUGGAGCAAGAAGAAAAGAAAAAGAUUUGCACCAUAAUCUUUUUUGGAACUUGCUUUGGAAGAUCCUAAUUGAUUCAGAAGGUAUGUCUAUUUACAUAAAUUGGAGAGCCGAAAAUGCAAGAGGCAUAAUAAAUUUAGCUCACCGAGAUGGCAAUCGAUAUCCAAGUCAAGCAAUUGCACUUAGAGAUAGAUGGAACGAUUAUUUCAAUACUGUUGGUGCAGUUUCUUGGCAACGAAUGAUUCAAUGAAUUAUUGGAAACAAUAAAUAAACAAUAAAUGUAACUGUUAUUAUAAUAUAUUAUAUAAUA